GAGCACAUGGCUCAGUGGUUAUGGGCGUUGGGCCAGUAACCGAAAGGUAGCUGGUUCUAACCCAGCUCAGGUCA
rnacentral:tRNA from 1 species